UGGGGCAGGCACGUGGCUCCAGUUAUGUUGGGCUGAGCUGCCUGUGGGUGACUCAGCAGCACCAGUGCCUGCCCCAGCCUGAUAAUUGAGGAAACUGAGACCUAAUGGACAGAGCCAAGAUUUAGGAGCCUGAAGCUUGUUUGGGUGCCUUCUUAAGAAAAAGAAUACAAAGUUGCAAUACAAAAGGCUUAGAGGGGCAGCGCCUGUGGCUCAGUGAGUAGAGUGCCAGCCCCAUAUGCCAGAGGUGCCAGGUUCAAACCUGGCCGCUGGCCAAAAAAUGCUUAGACCUCUUCAAAGGCCAGAGCACACAGCUGGGAAGGCGGGGGAGUCAGAGUGGAGGGGCACAGUGGGUUAGCCCGCUGAGGUUAGCACUGUUCACUUUUCCAAACUGUACAGAGACAUAUGACCUUAGGGCAGUACCUGUGGCUCAGUGAGUAGGGUGCCGGCCCCAUAUACCAAGGCUGGCGGGCUCGAACCCAGCCCUGACCAAACUGCAACAACCAAAAAAUAAAAAAUAGUCGGGCAUUAUGGCGGGCACCUAUAGUCCCAGCUAUUUGGGAGGCUGAGGCAAGAGAACCACCUAAGCCCAGGUGUUGGAGGUUGCUGUGAGCAGUGUGACACCACGGCACUCUACUGAGGGCAAUAAAGUAAAACUCUGUCUCUACCAAAAAAAAAAAAAAAAAACAAAGACAUAUGACCUUGUGAACACAAGGCCAGAGUCCCUCCGAGAGCCUAUUCAAGUGUGGAGCCACCGCUGGAGUUUCAGUAAUUCUGAAGCAAGAGCAAGGUCUGGGUUCUCCCAACCCAGGCAAGUCUUCCACCAGAUCUCUUAGAGCUUCCGCCUGGCACUGAAUCCAGACUCACUGCUCCUUCUGCAUGGCCACAUCCUAGGGGCUGGGCUGCUCUAGCCAGGACUGCUUGGGGAUCAUCUGUUCUAUCCAGUCAAAUCCUCUUUUGCAUUCGGGUUUGGAGGUCUAACCUCAUAAGCCCCAGGAAGUCUCCUCUGCCUGCUCUUGCCUCCUCAGUCAGUGCCAGGUCUAUGCUUGGCACCCCGAGGUCGUUGGUCAGCAUGGAAUUGUUUGAGUCCCCACAGUGCCAUCCGUCUACUGUUGCCCGUGAGUGACCAGUCCAGAUGGACACAUCCUGAGCCUCUCCUCUUGCAGCCGAGCCUGGGCUGGGUACUGUGAGGUGGGGCUUGAGAGACACAGAGUGUUCUCAGACCUAGUCCUUGCCCUUUUCUAAAUGUUUAGGCCCAAGAAGAACUUAGAUAUCAACUAGUCAAAGUGGUUGUCAAACUGUUAAUAACAGAAGUCCAACGUAUGCAACAGAGGGAAGCGGGUUGUUACGAGUGAAGCGGUAGGCGUAUCGGGUGUGGGGUCAAUUUGUUUGGCCUCCCCCUGUGCUGCUCCCUGCUCCUCCCAGUCCCUCUAAGGAGCCAUGAAUUGGAACCAUUGCUCUAAUUCAAGAUCUUUGUUUGAACAGAUGAGAAGACCAAGGCCUGACAAGGGUAAGAGACUUGACCAAGGUCAUAGAACAAGGUAGCAGCUAAGGCUGGAUUCAAACCAACAUCUGCUUGACCUUAGGUUUGAGAUUUCCUUGCUCAGCCUCUAUACCAGUUAGGGCUGCACCAUCUCUUUCCACCCCUGACCUGCCUCUCCCUGAACCCUCACUCUGGAUUCUCUAUCUAUUCACAGAGCCAGGAUGAUGAAGAGAAACUUCCAGAAGCCUGUAGGAGUGCGAAAGCAAGGAACCUAUUUGGUGCCUCCACCCUGGAAUGAGGACAGGGACUGGACUUCUAAGUAGAGAGCCUGCACACAAGGGAUGCCAGUGCCUGACACCUGUUGAUGGUCAGUCAGCGGUAGCUCUCCAUCUCACCCCACCUCACUCAUUCACGUCACUCGGAACCAGUUCCAGUUCCAGCGCACAGCUCUUGAGGAGGAGAAAGGGAUGAAGCAAUGGAGAAAGGCAGUGGGACUCAAUCAGGGUGCUGGUGCAUGAUGCGGACGGUAGGUGGCAGCAGUGUCCGCAAAAUGAGCCUCGCCUCUGUACACUUCGCCUAAGUUUCUAGCAGGCCAGGGGGUUCAGCUGUGCUGUGUAUGAACAAAUGUGUGCUCCAGUGGAAGGUGUGCAUACAAAGAACUACACGUGUUGGCUCGGCUCAAGUGGCUAAGGCGCCAACCACAUACACCUGUGCUGGUGAGUUCGCAUCCAGCCUGGGCCCACCAAACAACGACGGCUGCAACCAAAAAAUAGCGGGGCCUUGUGGCGGGCACCUGUAGUCCCAGCUACUUGGGAGGCGGAGGCGGGAGAAUCGCUUGAGCCCAGGAGUUGGAGGUUGCUGUGAGCUGUGAUACCACGGCACUCUACCCAGGGUGACAGCUUGAGGCUCUGUCUCAAAAUAAAUAAAUAAAUAACUAAGUGCACGUGCCUGCCUGUAGUGUACUGCAUGUGUACAUGUGAAUGUGAAUGUGAUGGGUGCCCAGAGUACCCAAGGUGUGGCGUGUGUAGGGGGAUGUUUGUUCACAGUCAGAAGUGUGUAUGUAUCUGGAUUCUGAGUCACUGUAGGCCUAUUUGAAGGUGACUAUGUGGUCCGUGUGAACACUUCCACCUCAGUGCAGCACUUAAACUUUUAGGUCCUGGCCCCCUGGAGCAUCUGACGGAAGUUUAGAUCUUGCAGUAAGACAGAGUCUCACUUUAUAGCCCUUGGUAGAGUACCGUGCCAUCACAGCUCACAGCAACCUCCAACUCCUGGGCCCAUGUGAUUCUCUUCCCUCAGCCUCCCCAGUAGCUGGGACCACAGGCACCCGCCACAACGCCCAGCCAUCCUUUGUUGCAGUUUGGCCGGGGCCACCACCCUCUGUACAUGGGGUCGGCGCCCUACUCACUGAGCCACAGUUGCUGCCCUCAGUUUCUUUUUUUCAUUAUUAAAUCAUAAACACGUAGAUCAUGUACACAUUAAGGCAUGUAUGGGGUACAAUGUGCUGAUUUCAUAUACAAUUUGAAAUGCUUACAUUACACUAGUUAAU